UGGAAUCUUGUCAGUUAGUCCCCAAAAGAGCAAGCCUUUGAAUAAAAUGGUGAAUGAUGAAUCAACACACAGAGGAGUAAGCACAAAAAGAAAAUAAAAUCUCCUUGCACACUUUGGGUGAUUACUCCACAGUCAGCAGCUAGGGAAUUCUGGGAAUUGCUGACCAAGAUUCCCAAAGUCUACCCCUCUUUGGACUGCAAAUUAGCAUUAAAAGGUUGUAGCUUUGCCAACCAUCCAUUUAUUUUUCCUGCUUGGAUCAUUUGAAGAUAUUUGCAAUGCAAGUGAGAAAGCCCUGUGCUAUGCAUGGAG